AACGAACGCUGGCGGCGUGCCUAACACAUGCAAGUCGAACGAGACCUUCGGGUCUAGUGGCGCACGGGUGCGUAACGCGUGGAAUCUGCCCUGGGGUGCGGAAUAACUCGGGGAAAUCCGUGCUAAUACCGCAUAAUGUCAUCGGAUCAAAGAUUUAUCGCCCUGGGAUGAGCCCGCGUAGGAUUAGCUAGGUGGUGGGGUAAAGGCCUACCAAGGCGACGAUCCUUAGCUGGUCUGAGAGGAUGAUCAGCCACACUGGGACUGGGACACGGCCCAGACUCCUACGGGAGGCAGCAGUGGGGAAUAUUGGACAAUGGGCGAAAGCCUGAUCCAGCAAUGCCGCGUGAGUGAUGAAGGCCCUAGGGUUGUAAAGCUCUUUUACCCGGGAUGAUAAUGACAGUACCGGGAGAAUAAGCUCCGGCUAACUCCGUGCCAGCAGCCGCAGUAACAC
rnacentral:rRNA from 1 species